GAUGAACGCUGACAGAAUGCUUAACACAUGCAAGUCAACUUGAACUUCGGUUUGGGUGGCGGACGGGUGAGUAACGCGUAAAGAACUUGCCUCACAGAUAGGGACAACAUUUGGAAACGAAUGCUAAUACCUGAUAUUAUGAUUUUAGGGCAUCCUAGGAUUAUGAAAGCUAUAUGCGCUGUGAGGGAGCUUUGCGUCCCAUUAGCUAGUUGGAGAGGUAACGGCUCACCAAGGCGAUGAUGGGUAGCCGGCCUGAGAGGGUGAUCGGCCACAAGGGGACUGAGACACGGCCCUUACUCCUACGGGAGGCAGCAGUGGGGAAUAUUGGACAAUGGACCAAGAGUCUGAUCCAGCAAUUCUGUGUGCACGAUGAAGUUUUUCGGAAUGUAAAGUGCUUUCAGUUGGGAAGAAAAAAAUGACGGUACCAACAGAAGAAGUGACGGCUAAAUACGUG
rnacentral:rRNA from 1 species